GUGCUUGUUUUGGUAGCACAUAUAAUAAAAUUGGAACCAGAGAAGAUUAACUUGGCCCCUGCACAAGGAUGACACACCAAUUUUUGAAGCACUCCAUAUUAGA